UGGCUUGAAUCAUCUAAAUUUUUUUACAAAUCGAAAAUGUAUCAUUAAUAAAAAACUGACUCAUAAAUGUAUAGUAAGAAAAUUUCUCCAGACACUUACAAUUAUCAUUCUAAGUUUAUGUCAUUAAUUUGAAAUUGGUUGUUGAAUGUGGUUUUAGGAUUGAAACCACUUUUUAUAUGUUUGACGGUGCAAUAUUAACUUUACUAAAACAAAAUUUAAUAGGUUACAACAUAAUAUGAAUUAUACGUAUGUAAAAUAUAAUAUUUUAUUUCAUUAACUUCAUUUUUGUUGUAUUGAUUUGGCUUUUUUCUAUGUUUCUUUUAUCUAGAAUGUUUAACUUUACAUUUAGGUGAUGUUUAUUGAUGAAAUUGAAUUUUCAAGCAUAAUAGAUGUAUUGUUAAUUACUUGCAAAUUGUUUCUAGUUAUGUUGAUU
rnacentral:lncRNA from 1 species